CACGUAGGGGGCAAGCGUUGUCCGGAAUUAUUGGGCGUAAAGAGCUCGUAGGCGGCUCGGUAAGUCAGGUGUCAAAUCCUCAGGCUCAACCUGGGGCUCCACCUGAUACUGCUGUGGCUAGAGUCCGGUAGGGGAGCGUGGAAUUCCUGGUGUAGCGGUGAAAUGCGCAGAUAUCAGGAGGAACACCGAUGGCGAAGGCAGGUCACUGGGCCGCAACUGACGCUGAGGAGCGAAAGCAUGGGGAGCGAACAGG
rnacentral:rRNA from 1 species